rnacentral:rRNA from 1 species
GACGAACGCUGGCGGCGUGCCUAAUACACGCAAGUAGAACGCUGAAGGAGGAGCUUGCUUCUCUGGAUGAGUUGCGAACGGGUGAGUAACGCGUAGGUAACCUGCCUGGUAGCGGGGGAUAACUAUUGGAAACGAUAGCUAAUACCGCAUAAGAGUAGAUGUUGCAUGACAUUUGCUUAAAAGGUGCAAUUGCAUCACUACCAGAUGGACCUGCGUUGUAUUAGCUAGUUGGUGGGGUAACGGCUCACCAAGGCGACGAUACAUAGCCGACCUGAGAGGGGGAUCGGCCACACUGGGACUGAGACACGGCCCAGACUCCUACGGGAGGCAGCAGUAGGGAAUCUUCGGCAAUGGACGGAAGUCUGACCGAGCAACGCCGCGUGAGUGAAGAAGGUUUUCGGAUCGUAAAGCUCUGUUGUAAGAGAAGAACGAGUGUGAGAGUGGAAAGUUCACACUGUGACGGUAUCUUACCAGAAAGGGACGGCUAACUACGUG